AUUGAGAGUUUGAUCCUGGCUCAGGACGAACGCUGGCGGCGUGCCUAACACAUGCAAGUCGAGCGAUGAAGCUUCUUCGGAAGUGGAUUAGCGGCGGACGGGUG
rnacentral:rRNA from 1 species